GACGAACGCUGGCGGCGUGCUUAACACAUGCAAGUCGAACGGAAGGGCCUGCUUUCCCUUGUGGAUUGCGGGUACUCGAGUGGCGAACGGGUGAGUAACACGUGAGUGAUCUGCCCCCAACUUGGGUAUAAGCCUGGGAAACUGGGUCUAAUUCCCGAUAGGACUGCAGGGUGGUGCCUGUGGUGGAAAACGAUUUUCUAGUGGUUGGGGAUGAGCUCGCGGCCUAUCAGCUUGUUGGUGGGGUAAUGGCCUACCAAGGCGGCGACGGGUAGCCGGCCUGAGAGGGUGGACGGCCACAUUGGGACUGAGAUACGGCCCAGACUCCUACGGGAGGCAGCAGUGGGGAAGAUUGCACAAUGGGCGGAAGCCUGAUGCAGCGACGCCGCGUGGGGGAUGACGGCCUUCGGGUUGUAAACUCCUUUCGACCGCGAGGAAGCCACCUGGUUGGAAGGGUGGUGACGGUAGUGGUAGAAGAAGCACCGGCUAACUACGUG
rnacentral:rRNA from 1 species